rnacentral:tRNA from 2 species
GGAGGGUUGGCUGAGCGGUCUAUAGCGCUGGUCUUGAAAACCAGUUGAGGGAAACCUCUCGCAGGUUCAAAUCCUGCACCCUCCGCUA